GGCGGCAUGCCUAACACAUGCAAGUCGAACGGUAACAGGCCCGCAAGGGUGCUGACGAGUGGCGGACGGGUGAGGAAUACAUCGGAAUUUGCCCAGUCGUGGGGGAUAACGUAGGGAAACUUACGCUAAUACCGCAUACGACCGGAAGGUGAAAGCGGGGGAUCAGCAAUGACCUCGCGCGAGUGGAUGAGCCGAUGUCGGAUUAGCUAGUUGGCGGGGUAAAGGCCCACCAAGGCGACGAUCCGUAGCUGGUCUGAGAGGAUGAUCAGCCACACUGGGACUGAGACACGGCCCAGACUCCUACGGGAGGCAGCAGUGGGGAAUAUUGGACAAUGGGGGCAACCCUGAUCCAGCAAUGCCGCGUGUGUGAAGAAGGCCUUCGGGUUGUAAAGCACUUUUAUCCGGAACGAAACGCGCUUGGUGAAUAGCCAGGUGAACUGACGGUACCGGANGAAUAAGCACCGGCUAACUUCGUGCCAGCAGCCGCGGUAAUACGAAGGGUGCAAGCGUUACUCGGAAUUACUGGGCGUAAAGCGUGCGUA
rnacentral:rRNA from 1 species